GUUACAAAUACUACACGCAGUGGUUGAGAUGCUUUUGUAGGUCAGCAGUGUCUGAAUAAAGUACAGGAGAUGUCCUUUGAUGCAUUAUUUUAAUCCUUCUAACAGGUGCCAGUAAUACACCAGAAGAGAGCCUUUACGCAAACGUGGCAGCAGAUGAGUAAAGACUUCCACAUGGACAGAACCAAUGGAACGGAUACAAACAUGAAGCUUCCUUGUUUCAGCAAUUGAGUGAAUUUGCUGAUUUGUGUAAAUAGUGCAGAGGCCUUUCUAGGAACAUGCUGAAUGCUUUGCACUUCAACUGUAUACUGCCAUGAUCCUUGUUUAGGGUCUGUUUCCUGUUUUAUUUUGAAAUGUUUUCCCCUCUUGUGUCAUGUUUAGCUUCACUUCCUGUCUGCGUUUCCCUCCUGCAGUGUUGUAGUCAAGUCACUAUGACUCGAGUCCCAAGGCCAGGUUCAAGUCUCCGGUGUUCAAGUCUGAGUUGAGUCCACGACUCAUCCAAUUCAAGUCUGAGUCGUAUCCCUAUUGAUCAAGUCCGGGGGGGGGGGGACACGAUAGCAGAGCGAACAGGUACAGGAGGCCUAGAGCAAGGAGAUCAUUGUCCACUAGUUAAUCGACCGCGGAUAGCGUCGUGCUCGCGGACGGAUUAAAAUAAAUAAAAGGGUCGCGAAAUACACUUGGGCGGCCGUUAAUAUACCUGGGUGGCCCGCCCAAGUAAAGUGUAUGUGUGGGAAACCCUGUGUUGUUAAACUUUAAAAAAACAUAACUGUGGUCCCGCAGCUCAUAGGCGUGUCCUAAUGGCGGGCGCUGUGAACUUUCAUAUGCAUUGAAAGGGCGAAUAAGAGAGCUUGACACACAGACCGUUCACAGAGAUGUUUGCGUCAAGCUCUAUUAUUGGCCCCCGAGCUCCGGCUGUGAAUCACGUAGGAUCUCGCCGGAGAAUGCAUCGGAAAGAAGAGAGUCUACCGAUUCCGGCAGCAUUUCUACGCCGUAUUAUGGCAUAAAUGUUAAUAGAAACAUAUCGAAAACGUUGCGAAAACGCACUGUGGCGUUCAUCGUCCUCAGGGUUUUAAUGACAAAGUCGAGUCCUUUCGAGUCAUCGCGAGUCCGAAUACACGAGUCCAAGUCCGAAGUUCAAGUCAUUAGUGCUCAAGUCCAAGUCAAGUCACGAGUCUCUAAAUUUAGCUCACGAGUCGGACUACAACACUGCCCUCCUGUGCCUGAUUGUGUCAUUGUGUUCACCUGUUGCUCCUGUGUUUCUCCUCCCCUCUCCAGCUGCGUCUUGUCUUGUGAUUACCCUUGUGUAUUUAGUCUCUGUUGCCCUUUUGUCUCUUGUUCGGUUGUCGUCGUUUCCCACCUGAUCUUGUCCAUGUUACCUGCCUGUUCCUGUCCGUCCGUCUGUCUGCUCCUGUUCCUGGUGUCCCUGUGUCCCCUGGUUAGUGUAGGUGAGGUUUUUCUUUGUUUGAAAGUACAGCUUUAAUUUGAAUAAAGCUCGCCUUUUGUUUGGACCUGUA